rnacentral:rRNA from 1 species
UACGUAGGGUGCAAGCGUUAAUCGGAAUUACUGGGCGUAAAGCGUGCGCAGGCGGUUGUGUAAGACAGAUGUGAAAUCCCCGGGCUCAACCUGGGAACUGCAUUUGUGACUGCACGGCUGGAGUGCGGCAGAGGGGAUGGAAUUCCGCGUGUAGCAGUGAAAUGCGUAGAUAUGCGGAGGAACACCGAUGGCGAAGGCAAUCCCCUGGGCCUGCACUGACGCUGAGGAGCGAAAGCGUGGGGAGCGAACAGG